rnacentral:rRNA from 1 species
UGGGGAAUAUUGGACAAUGGGCGCAAGCCUGAUCCAGCCAUGCCGCGUGAGUGAUGAAGGCCUUAGGGUUGUAAAGCUCUUUCGCCGGUGAAGAUAAUGACGGUAACCGGAGAAGAAGCCCCGGCUAACUUCGUGCCAGCAGCCGCGGUAAUACGAAGGGGGCUAGCGUUGCUCGGAAUCACUGGGCGUAAAGCGCACGUAGGCGGAUCGUUAAGUCAGGGGUGAAAUCUGGAGCUCAACUCCAGAACUGCCCUUGAUACUGGCGAUCUCGAGUUCGAGAGGAGGUUGGUGGAACUCCGAGUGUAGAGGUGAAAUUCGUAGAUAUUCGGAAGAACACCAGUGGCGAAGGCGGCCAACUGGCUCGAUACUGACGCUGA